rnacentral:rRNA from 1 species
UACGUAGGGUGCAGGCGUUGUCCGGAAUUAUUGGGCGUAAAGAGCUCGUAGGCGGUUUGUCGCGUCGAAUGUGAAAACCCGGGGCUCAACCCCGGGCCUGCAUUCGAUACGGGCAGACUAGAGUUCGGUAGGGGAGUCUGGAAUUCCUGGUGUAGCGGUGAAAUGCGCAGAUAUCAGGAGGAACACCGGUGGCGAAGGCGGGACUCUGGGCCGAUACUGACGCUGAGGAGCGAAAGCGUGGGGAGCAAACAGG